rnacentral:rRNA from 1 species
GAGUUACGAUUUGAUGCAAGGUUAAGCAGUAAAUGUGGAGCCGUAGCGAAAGCGAGUCUGAAUAGGGCGUUUAGUAUUUGGUCGUAGACCCGAAACCAGGUGAUCUACCCUUGGUCAGGUUGAAGUUCAGGUAACACUGAAUGGAGGACCGAACCGACUUACGUUGAAAAGUGAGCGGAUGAACUGAGGGUAGCGGAGAAAUUCCAAUCGAACCUGGAGAUAGCUGGUUCUCUCCGAAAUAGCUUUAGGGCUAGCCUCAAGUGAUGAUUAUUGGAGGUAGAGCACUGUUUGGACGAGGGGCCCCUCUCGGGUUACCGAAUUCAGACAAACUCCGAAUGCCAAUUAAUUUAACUUGGGAGUCAGAACAUGGGUGAUAAGGUCCGUGUUCGAAAGGGAAACAGCCCAGACCACCAGCUAAGGUCCCAAAAUAUAUGUUAAGUGGAAAAGGAUGUGGCGUUGCCCAGACAACUAGGAUGUUGGCUUAGAAGCAGCCAUCAUUUAAAGAGUGCGUAAUAGCUCACUAGUCGAGUGACACUGCGCCGAAAAUGUACCGGGGCUAAACAUAUUACCGAAGCUGUGGAUUGUCCUUUGGACAAUGGUAGGAGAGCGUUCUAAGGGCGUUGAAGCAUGAUCGUAAGGACAUGUGGAGCGCUUAGAAGUGAGAAUGCCGGUGUGAGUAGCGAAAGACGGGUGAGAAUCCCGUCCACCGAUUGACUAAGGUUUCCAGAGGAAGGCUCGUCCGCUCUGGGUUAGUCGGGUCCUAAGCUGAGGCCGACAGGCGUAGGCGAUGGAUAACAGGUUGAUAUUCCUGUACCACCUAUAAUCGUUUUAAUCGAUGGGGGGACGCAGUAGGAUAGGCGAAGCGUGCGAUUGGAUUGCACGUCUAAGCAGUAAGGCUGAGUAUUAGGCAAAUCCGG